CCAGAUGCGAUAAGUAAUACGAAUUGCAGGUCUCUGUGAAUCAUCAAAUUUUCGAACGCACUGCGCCCGGGAGCAAUCUCGGGCACAUUCGGUUGAGUGACAAUUUUAAUUCUUGAUACCCAGUAUCACUGUCGGCGGUUUUUUGAUCGAAAUCCGCUUAGAAUCCUUUUCGGAGCCGCUUUCGGCGAGCUUACUUACCCAACCGAAGAGAGAAAUUUUUUCGGCGGUUCGUCGGCAGCGUCAG
rnacentral:misc_RNA from 1 species